rnacentral:rRNA from 1 species
UUUAAAUAGCUGCAGUAAUUUAACUGUACAAAGGUAGCAUAGUAAUUAGUCUUUUAAUUGAGGUCUGGAAUGAAUGGUUCAACAAGAUACAAACUUUAUUAUUUAAAUAGUAUUUAAUUUAAUUUUUUAGUAAAAAAACUAAAAUUGUUAAAUGGGACGAUAAGACCCUAUAGAUCUUAAAUUUUUUUUUUAAAAUUAUUAAUUGGUAAACUUGUAAUGUUUUAUCAAGAUAAAUUUUAGUUGGGGUGAUUUUAAAAAUUUUUAAACUUUUAAUUAUUUUAACAUUAAUAUUAAUGGUUUAAUGAUCUUAAAAUUUAGAUUAAAAAAAUAAGAUACCUUAGGGAUAACAGCGUAAUAAAUUUGAAUAGUUCAUAUUGAUAAAUUUGUUUACGACCUCGAUGUUGAAUUAAUUUAAAUUUUUGAAGUAGCCAUUAAAAUAUUUUGGUCUGUUCGACCUUUAAUAAAUUACA